rnacentral:rRNA from 1 species
ACCCAAAUAUCUAAACGGAGAAAUUCAAUACUGUUGUUAUGUUUACAUCACAAUGGUGUGCACUUUUCUUUUAGUAAGACGUUGUGAUCCAUUAGGAAUCGAUUGUUUAUCUAAAAUUGAACAAUUAAUAGGCUACCAAUAGACUGAUAUUGAAGUUCAUUUUGGCAAACAAUACAAUCGUUUAUGGUUGUGUAUAUUGCCUUGUGAGCAUAUCAUGUACUGAUGUAGCUGCCUGAUGGAUUUUAAAGGCCAUAUUAUUGAUACUUGUUUAUCACCCAACUUGUUUUGGGAUAUAAAAAUAUGUGCCCGAUCAACAACGGUUUCAUUUGGGAUACCUUUGGGACCCGUCUUGAAACACGGACCAAGGAGUCUAUCUAGUAUGCGAGUAAAUGGGGUUAUUAUAUAUUUAUGAAACCUAUUUGCGUAAAUAACUUGACUGUUUAUUUUAAUGGGAUUACGUGUAUUUUUAAUUGAAAAAUUAAAUGCACCUCCAUCCCGGGGUAUUUUCAUCAUAUAUAUGGGCAACUGUAUAUAGAAAAUAUACCAUGAGCAUACUGGACAUGACCCGAAAGAUGGUGAACUAUGCCUGAUCAGGUUGAAGUCAGGGGAAACCCUGAUGGAGGACCGAAGCAAUUCUGACGUGCAAAUCG